AUUGAACGCUGGCGGCAGGCCUAACACAUGCAAGUCGAGCGGAUGAAGGGAGCUUGCUCCUGGAUUCAGCGGCGGACGGGUGAGUAAUGCCUAGGAAUCUGCCUGGGAGUGGGGUAUAACGUCCGGAAACGGGCGCUAAUACCGCAUACGUCCUGAGGGAGAGAGUGGGGGAUCUUCGGACCUCACGCUAUCAGAUGAGCCUAGGUCGGAUUAGCUAGUUGGUGGGGUAAAGGCCUACCAAGGCGACGAUCCGUAACUGGUCUGAGAGGAUGAUCAGUCACACUGGAACUGAGACACGGUCCAGACUCCUACGGGAGGCAGCAGUGGGGAAUAUUGGACAAUGGGCGAAAGCCUGAUCCAGCCAUGCCGCGUGUGUGAAGAAGGUCUUCGGAUUGUAAAGCACUUUAAGUUGGGAGGAAGGGCAGUAAGUUAAUACCUUGCUGUUUUGACGGUACCAAAAGAAUAAGCACCGGCUAACUUCGUG
rnacentral:rRNA from 1 species